rnacentral:rRNA from 1 species
ACUCCUACGGGAGGCAGCAGUGGGGAAUUUUGGACAAUGGGCGCAAGCCUGAUCCAGCAAUGCCGCGUGAGUGAAGAAGGCCUUCGGGUUGUAAAGCUCUUUCAGUCGAGAAGAAAGGGCUGCAGUGAAUAACUGUAGUUUAUGACGGUAUCGACAGAAGAAGCACCGGCUAACUACGUGCCAGCAGCCGCGGUAAU